rnacentral:rRNA from 1 species
ACUCAAAUGAAUUGACGGGGACCCGCACAAGCGGUGGAGCGUGUUGUUUAAUUCGAUGGUAAGCGAAGAACCUUACCCAGGUUUGACAUCCCGAGAAGGUUUCCGAAAGGAAAUUGUGCCGUAAGGAACUCGGUGACAGGUGAUGCAUGGCCGUCGUCAGCUCGUGUCGUGAGAUGUUAGGUUAAGUCCUUCAACGAGCGCAACCCUUGUAGUUAGUUGUAUUUUUCUAGCUAGACUGCCCUGGUAACAGGGAGGAAGGGGGGGAUGAUGUCAGGUCAGUAUUUCCCUUACAUCUGGGGCUACAAACACGCUACAAUGGCCGGUACAAAGGGCAGCCAAGUCGCAAGACGGAGCAAACCCCAUCAAAGCCGGUCUCAGUUCGGAUAGCAGGCUGAAACUCGCCUGCUUGAAGCUGGAAUCGCUAGUAACGGUAGGUCAGCACACUACCGUGAAUACGUUCCCGGGUCUUGUACACACCGCCCGU